rnacentral:snRNA from 1 species
CGAAUUCUCUUACAGAGCUCAGGGCCUUCAGUAAGACCCGAUCGAGAAUUUUUGCAGACCCCAGAUGAGUGCUGGGGUU